rnacentral:rRNA from 1 species
CGUGCUAAUACAUGCAAGUCGAACGAGUUCUCGUUGAUGAUCGGUGCUUGCACCGAGAUUCAACAUGGAACGAGUGGCGGACGGGUGAGUAACACGUGGGUAACCUGCCCUUAAGUGGGGGAUAACAUUUGGAAACAGAUGCUAAUACCGCAUAGAUCCAAGAACCGCAUGGUUCUUGGCUGAAAGAUGGCGUAAGCUAUCGCUUUUGGAUGGACCCGCGGCGUAUUAGCUAGUUGGUGAGGUAAUGGCUCACCAAGGCGAUGAUACGUAGCCGAACUGAGAGGUUGAUCGGCCACAUUGGGACUGAGACACGGCCCAAACUCCUACGGGAGGCAGCAGUAGGGAAUCUUCCACAAUGGACGCAAGUCUGAUGGAGCAACGCCGCGUGAGUGAAGAAGGCUUUCGGGUCGUAAAACUCUGUUGUUGGAGAAGAAUGGUCGGCAGAGUAACUGUUGUCGGCGUGACGGUAUCCAACCAGAAAGCCACGGCUAACUACGUGCCAGCAGCCGCGGUAAUACGUAGGUGGCAAGCGUUAUCCGGAUUUAUUGGGCGUAAAGCGAGCGCAGGCGGUUUUUUAAGUCUGAUGUGAAAGCCCUCGGCUUAACCGAGGAAGCGCAUCGGAAACUGGGAAACUUGAGUGCAGAAGAGGACAGUGGAACUCCAUGUGUAGCGGUGAAAUGCGUAGAUAUAUGGAAGAACACCAGUGGCGAAGGCGGCUGUCUGGUCUGUAACUGACGCUGAGGCUCGAAAGCAUGGGUAGCGAACAGGAUUAGAUACCCUGGUAGUCCAUGCCGUAAACGAUGAAUGCUAGGUGUUGGAGGGUUUCCGCCCUUCAGUGCCGCAGCUAACGCAUUAAGCAUUCCGCCUGGGGAGUACGACCGCAAGGUUGAAACUCAAAGGAAUUGACGGGGGCCCGCACAAGCGGUGGAGCAUGUGGUUUAAUUCGAAGCAACGCGAAGAACCUUACCAGGUCUUGACAUCUUUUGAUCACCUGAGAGAUCAGGUUUCCCCUUCGGGGGCAAAAUGACAGGUGGUGCAUGGUUGUCGUCAGCUCGUGUCGUGAGAUGUUGGGUUAAGUCCCGCAACGAGCGCAACCCUUAUGACUAGUUGCCAGCAUUUAGUUGGGCACUCUAGUAAGACUGCCGGUGACAAACCGGAGGAAGGUGGGGAUGACGUCAAAUCAUCAUGCCCCUUAUGACCUGGGCUACACACGUGCUACAAUGGAUGGUACAACGAGUUGCGAGACCGCGAGGUCAAGCUAAUCUCUUAAAGCCAUUCUCAGUUCGGACUGUAGGCUGCAACUCGCCUACACGAAGUCGGAAUCGCUAGUAAUCGCGGAUCAGCACGCCGCGGUGAAUACGUUCCCGGGCCUUGUACACACCGCCCGUCACACCAUGAGAGUUUGUAACACCCGAAGCCGGUGGCGUAACCCUUUUAGGGAGCGAGCCGUCUAAGGUGG